UUACUUCUUUUUGUUGUAUUAUUCAAUUUUUUUAGCAUUUUUCUUUAAAUGGUUUUACCAAUUUCAACUUAUCUUUUAACACAAGUUCAAAAUCGCGUGCUAAUUUUAAAAUUCCGCGGCACCUAAAACUCUGAAAUAUGUUGAAACUAUUAAAAUUCGAAUACAAAAUUUAGUUAUUUUGACUUCUUGUGAACCUUUUGUAUCACGUUUUGAAAAUUCUGCUCAAAUAAUUAAAAUCAGUCACAAAAACAAGGAUGAUUCCAGUGUUGCUUAUAAAAUUGUGAAAUCUAUACUUUCUUCUUUAAGUUAGUGAAAACAGUACUUUUAUAACCUCCUUAGUUAUUGUGUAAUACAUUAAAAAAAAAAAAAAUUAAAAAAACAAUUUCAAAAGGUAGCUUUUGAGUGCUUUUGUUCAUUUUUAUUAAUAUCACUCAUUAUGUUCACAAUUUCUAAGAAAACAUUUUUUUAGUUUAUGGAUGUACUACCAUUCCUUUACUAGUCUACUGUUUUAAAAACUUACUUGCCUAAUCCAUACUCUGAUUAAAAAAAGAAAAAAAAAACCUGACCACUUCGCAAAAGUACGUCAUUCUAUUGUUUAACAAAUUUCGAACAAAGAAUUUCAAUAAAUAGAACCAAUAAUUACUGUACUUGUUUUGUUUAAUUAAACAAUUAAACAUUUCUUGAUAUAGUAAAACUUUCUAUAUAAUUGGAACUAGUUUUCUUUGUAUUUUGAUUUUGCAAUGAACUUACUUCGUGUAACUCCUGAAGAAAGAACUCAAAUUUUGAAAGGUUACAACGUCGACAAUGCCCAAUUAGAGAAUAAUAUUGAAAUAAUUAAAAUUUGGAAGUCCAAACAACCUCAUCUUCAAGGGGAUUUAGGCGAUGACUACUUUGAGAAACUGUUAAUUAAAAAUAAAUUUAGUAUUGAAAGAUGUAAAGAAAAAUUAGAAAACUAUUACACCCUUCGGAAGACAAAUGAAGAUUUGUUGGAAGAUUACGAGAAAAUUUUACCGUCACAAGAAACAACAACUUUUUUAACGCUUCCUCGACUAACCCAAAACUAUGAGCAUAUCGUAGUCAUGAAACUGAUAAAUAUUGAUACAAAAAUUUACGAUCUUGUACCAACUUUCAAAUUUGCAUUAGCCGUGAAUGAAAUGAUGUUGAGACAUGAUGGCAGUUUAGGAAUUCCAGUUCUUAUAGACUACACAGGGUUUGCUCUGAAACAUUUAUCUACUUGGAAUCCUUUAAUUUUGAUGAGAUAUUGUAACAUGGCUGAAAAAGCUUACUCUCUUCGAAUUUUGGGAUUAGAAUUUAUCAAUUACCCAUCAUUUAUCAACAAAGUUUUCUCUUGUUCCAUUUCGAAAGCUUGAUUAAUUUCAGAUAAAACUGCAUGAAAAUUUUGAAUCUUUAUACACGGUAAUCCCCAAAAAAUAUUUACCGGAGGAUUAUGGAGGUAGUAACGAUAAAAUUUCUGAUUUGUUAGAAAAAUGGGACAUAGAAGCAAAAAACAACAAAAUUUUUUACUACAGUGUGCAAACACUAUUGCAAACGAAGAUUUACGUCCACUAGAAUCACAUGAAAAUGGUUUGUUUGGAACUGGAGGUACAUUCAAGAAACUCUCCGUCGACUAAAUAUUUAAAACAGCAAACACAGGGUGAUCCGUCUAAACCCCACUUUAGAAGUAUUGGUAGUUCUAAUAAUGAUAGUCAACCUGAAAAUCUUCAAACAACUAUAAUCUCUUAGGUGCUGCUCAAUGAAAAUAUUUUUAAAAUAGUGACAUUCCGGUUGUACCGGAAGUCGCUAUUAGCUUUUUUUUAAUGAAAAGCUAUAUUUUUUUAAGCGUUUUUUAUUACUAGAGUUAUUUUAUGGUAGUUUUCAUAAGCUUCCCUUAUACCUACAUUUAGCCGUUUGCAAAAUAUUUAAGGCUAUUAAUUAUUUUUUGGAUUUGCACCUUCCAGUUCAAAAAUCGAUAACUGUGCCAUUUAAAAAAAAAUUGGAAAUAUUUUUUAGCUCUUUUGAAAAAAGAAGCUAAGAUCUUUCCUUUAGUGUUGUCACAUUUCUAAAGAAGAAUAACAAACCCCGAAUUUUUAAAGUUAAGUUUUCACAACUUUAAGAACCCAUAACUCAAUUUUUUCCAAUAAAAUGCCACAAGUUUUAUUUCACUAAAUGGUAGAGAAUUUAAUUCUGCAUCGAUCUCUAUUAACAUUCCCUAUAUUUAUCUAUAACAGUUUUAAAGUUACAAUAACUUUUUGUUGGGAUUGAGAUUCAUUAGCCAUUAGUCUAUUCCCAUAUUUUGCCAUGAAAACGAAUGAAAAAAUGUAAGACAUUAAAGUUUUUUAAACCAACAA